CCUACGGGAGGCAGCAGUAAGGAAUAUUGGACAAUGGCCGCAAGGCUGAUCCAGCCAUCCAGCGUGCGGGAAGAAGGCCCUAUGGGUUGUAAACUGCUUUUAUCAGGGAAGAAACCUCUGGAUUUACUCCGGAGCUGACGGUACCUGAAGAAUAAGCACCGGCUAACUCCAUGCCAGCAGCCGCGGUAAUACGGAGGGUGCGAGCGUUAUCCGGAAUUACUGGGUUUAAAGGGUGCGUAGGCGGCUAUGUAAGUCAGGAGUGAAAGUUUGCGGCUCAACCGUAAAAUUGCUUUUGAUACUGCAUAGCUGGAAUUAGGAUGAGGUCAGCGGAAUGUGGCAUGUAGCGGUGAAAUGCAUAGAUAUGCCAUAGAACACCAAUUGCGAAGGCAGCUGACUAGACCUGGAUUGACGCUGAGGCACGAAAGCGUGGGGAGCGAACAGGAUUAGAUACCCUGGUAGUCCACGCCCUAAACGAUGCUUACUCGACGUAUGGCACUAGAUGUUGUGCGUCCAAGGGAAACCGUUAAGUAAGCCACCUGGGGAGUACGACCGCAAGGUUGAAACUCAAAGGAAUUGACGG
rnacentral:rRNA from 1 species